ACUUUGUCUUUCGCUUUGUCAUCACGAAAUUAGCUCAAACAAAGCGAGAGAAUGUAACAAUUUGUAAUAAAUCGCUUGCAUAACUGAUAAAGUAUGAUUUAUCAGCGGAACGAUAGUAAUUGACGUGGUGGGGGGCUCUCCCAUUUAUGACGACGUAGAGAAAUAGUCCAUUCUUUUACGAAACGUGCUGAAGUGGUGAUAAUCAGAUGCAGUAGCAAAAAUGGUUUAAUUAAAUAAAUCGGUAGCUUUCUUUUUUUAGUUAAUUAAUUAACCAGUGAUUUGCAACGCAGUCCUAUAUACAAGCCAUGGCUAUCAUGGAUAACAAAACCGGCGACUCCGGUGACUCAUCGGACGACAGGCCGGUACCGGCGGCGAUCGUCGCCUCGUGCAGCUCCAUACCGAGCGAGAGCACCCUACUGACGCCGGUUCAGACCUAUUUCGCUGACGAGCGGAUCAACAUACCCGAAACCGAGACAACGGGUUUCAGCUUUCGAAAGUUAUGGGCGUUUACGGGACCCGGUUUCCUGAUGUCGAUCGCCUACCUCGACCCGGGCAACAUCGAGAACGACCUACAGAGCGGCACGAUCGCGCAGUAUAAGUUAUUGUGGGUGUUACUUAGUGCGACGUUCCUCGGGCUGCUCAUGCAGAGGCUGUCGGCGAGGUUGGGAGUCGUCACGGGAUUGCAUCUCGCCGAGAUGUGCCACAGACAGUACAGGAAGCUGCCCAGGAUGUUACUGUGGAUUAUGAUCGAGAUUGCCAUCAUUGGAUCCGAUAUGCAGGAGGUUAUCGGGACGGCGAUCGCCAUCUAUCUUCUUUCAAGCAAAGCAAUCCCGCUGUGGGGUGGCGUUCUGAUCACGAUCGUCGACACGUUCACCUUCCUCUUUUUGGACAAGUACGGCCUACGAAAGUUGGAGCUCUUCUUCGGCUUUCUAAUAACCGUAAUGGCCGUCACCUUCGGGUACGAGUUCUUCGUGUCGAAACCGGACGGAGUCGAACUGGUCAAGGGGAUGUUCAUCCCUUGGUGCGCUGGCUGUGAUUCAUCCGCCCUUUUGCAAGCCGUCGGAAUUGUCGGUGCCAUCAUAAUGCCGCAUAAUUUAUAUCUGCAUUCGGCGCUGGUCAAGUCCAGGGACAUCGACAGGAAGGAUAAGGCGAAAGUGCGAGAUGCAAAUUUGUAUUUUUUUAUUGAGGCGGCUAUCGCGCUCUUUGUUAGUUUUAUUAUUAAUGUAUUCGUAGUGGCAGUUUUCGCGUAUGGUUUAUAUCACGUUACCAAUAAUCAGCUUCGGGAUAGUUGCGAGCAGUAUCCACAAUUCAAUGUGACUUCACUGUUUCCCGCGAACGACGAUUACGUCGAGGCCGACCUGUACAAGGGAGGAAUCUUUUUGGGCUGCACUUUCGGCAUAGCGGCGAUGUACAUCUGGGCGGUAGGUAUUUUGGCGGCCGGUCAAAGUUCGACGAUGACAGGUACCUACGCCGGUCAGUUCGCGAUGGAAGGGUUCCUAAAUUUGCAGUGGGCGCGCUGGAAGCGUGUCCUUUUAACUAGAAGCAUUGCGAUCAUUCCCACAUUUUGUCUCGCAUUUUAUACCAGCAUCGACGAUUUGACUGGAAUGAACGAUAUUCUGAACGCCGUGAUGAGCUUGCAGUUACCUUUCGCGUUAUUCCCGACCAUUGCGUUUACCAGUAACCGACUGAUUAUGGGAGAUUUUGUCAAUGGAAAGGUCAACACCAUGAUUGCAGUGACACUUAGCGCUGUUGUCAUCGCGAUCAACACCUACUUCAUCGGGUCGACGGUAUCCAAUUUCAACCUGGGAUGGGUCGCUUUAACCUUCGUCGUGAUCGUCGGCGUCCUGUAUCUCCUCUUCUGUUUGUAUCUUGCCAUUCACAUGGCGAUUUCGAUGGGCGCGACCGGCCUGACGAGGUACCAAUUCGUCAACAAGUACAUCUACGGCCCCGUAAACCAAGGUCAACUGACGACUGAUCCGAUAUCGUAUUCGAGCUGGAGAUUGAUGCAUCAUUAAGUGGAAUUUUUGUUGGAGUCCGUUUUCACGAUUAACAACGCCGACGCUGCGCCGCCUACGUCCCGGUAUAUGAAAAAAGAUGCGUUUUAAGUGUACGACCACGAAGAAAUUGUACAUCCUGUAUAUACCUAAUAUAUUUUAUUUUUAAUAAAUAUUUAUUUUAUCUCGUCUCUCCUCAGGCGGAGAAUCUAUGUUUUCAUUCCCGACUCAACAGAUAGAGCGUGAGCUAAUCAUAACUAACAGCAGUUAGAGAGUGCCUGGUUGGAGCAAUAAACGACGAUUAGCGAAGAUAAGCGACGUUAAAAGUAUGUUGUGUAGAUAAGCAGUAGAGGUAGCGAAGUGUGUUUACGAAAUAAAUUAUUUUUAAUUGUUUUAA